rnacentral:rRNA from 1 species
UACGAAGGGGACUAGCGUUGUUCGGAAUCACUGGGCGUAAAGCGCACGUAGGCGGAUGUGUCAGUCAGGGGUGAAAUCCCGGGGCUCAACCUCGGAACUGCCUUUGAUACAGCACGUCUCGAGUCCGGAAGAGGUGGGUGGAAUUCCUAGUGUAGAGGUGAAAUUCGUAGAUAUUAGGAAGAACACCGGUGGCGAAGGCGGCCCACUGGUCCGGUACUGA